UACGUAGGGUGCGAGCGUUGUCCGGAAUUAUUGGGCGUAAAGAGCUCGUAGGCGGCUUGUCACGUCGGAUGUGAAAGCCCGGGGCUUAACCCCGGGUCUGCAUUCGAUACGGGCUAGCUAGAGUGUGGUAGGGGAGAUCGGAAUUCCUGGUGUAGCGGUGAAAUGCGCAGAUAUCAGGAGGAACACCUAUGGCGAAGGCAGCUCUCUGGGACGGUACUGACGCUGAGACGCGAAAGCGUGGGGAGCGAACAGG
rnacentral:rRNA from 1 species